AAGACUGACGCUCAUGUGCGAAAGUGUGGGUAGCGAACAGGAUUAGAUACCCUGGUAGUCCACACCGUAAACGCUGUCUACUAGCUGUGUGUGAAUUUAAUUUGUGCGUAGCGAAGCAAACGCGCUAAGUAGACCGCCUGGGGAGUACGGCCGCAAGGUUAAAACUCAAAUGAAUUGACGGGGGCCCGCACAAGCGGUGGAGCAUGUGGUUUAAUUCGACGCAACGCGAAGAACCUUACCUACUCUUGACAUCUAGCGAAGAUUGCAGAGAUGCAGUUGUGCCUUCGGGAACGCUAAGACAGGUGCUGCAUGGCUAUCGUCAGCUCGUGUUGUGAAAUGUUGGGUUAAGUCCCGCAACGAGCGCAACCCUUAUCCUUAGUUGCCAGCACGUAAUGGUGGGAACUCUAGGGAGACUGCCGGUGACAAACCGGAGGAAGGUGGGGACGACGUCAAGUCAUCAUGGCCCUUACGAGUAGGGCUACACACGUGCUACAAUGGUAAGUACAGAGGGAAGCGAAGCAGCGAUGUGGAGCGGACCCCUUAAAGCUUAUCGUAGUCCGGAUUGGAGUCUGCAACUCGACUCCAUGAAGUCGGAAUCGCUAGUAAUCGCAGGUCAGCAUACUGCGGUGAAUACGUUCCCGGGCCCUUGUACACACCGCCCGUCACACCAUGGGAGUGGGAUGCAAAAGGAAGUAGCUAGUUUAACCUUCGGGAGAACGGUUACCACUUUUGUGUUUCAUG
rnacentral:rRNA from 1 species